rnacentral:rRNA from 1 species
AUUGAACGCUGGCGGCAUGCCUUACACAUGCAAGUCGAACGGCAGCACGGGGGCAACCUUGGUGGCGAGUGGCGAACGGGUGAGUAAAGCAUCGGAACGUGCCCUGGAGUGGGGGAUAACGUAGCGAAAGUUACGCUAAUACCGCAUAUUCUGUGAGCAGGAAAGCAGGGGAUCGCAAGACCUUGCGCUCUGGGAGCGGCCGAUGUCGGAUUAGCUAGUUGGUGGGGUAAAGGCCUACCAAGGCGACGAUCCGUAGCGGGUCUGAGAGGAUGAUCCGCCACACUGGGACUGAGACACGGCCCAGACUCCUACGGGAGGCAGCAGUGGGGAAUUUUGGACAAUGGGCGCAAGCCUGAUCCAGCCAUGCCGCGUGAGUGAAGAAGGCCU